rnacentral:rRNA from 1 species
CUGACCUCGGAUCAGUCGUGAGUACCCGCUGAACUUAAGCAUAUCAAUAAGCGGAGGAAAAGAAACUAACAAUCUC